CAUCUUUGUUUUGUGAGGAAAGGAGUGGUGACCGACAAAGGCAGCAUUAGCGCGCGAAUAGGCCCCGCUGCUUCGGCAGUUUUUGCCCUGGGGCUGGUGUGCCGCUCGAGGCCUACCCACCCCGACUCUUAAAUACCCAUUUCAGUUACUUUCGGCUUAAGUUAGGCAUGAAGUGACCAUGUUUCUCCAGAUUUGCAGGCUGAGAGGCAUCCGGAUAAAUCUGUUAUCGGUAUUUGCAGUUAAGACAUCGCCGGCGCAGUCAUUCUGAGUUGCUCUCUGCCCGACAGGCUCCUUAUACAUUCGCUUGAGCUCUUAUGGAAUAAAACAUUUCCGUGUUUGGGAAACAUGCCCCAUGUGCCUGUCCCAUGAACCCCGCCAUGGCCCUGUGAGGGGUCCUGCCCCCACUUCUUCCUCACACUAAUCCGUUAAAGUAGGGAUUGCGAGGUCAGGGCGCGGAGGCUGAGAGACCCAAACUUUCAGAAGUCAUUAGUUUACUCCAUGAGAAGAACGACAUGUCUCCCUCAGUCCGUCAGUAACACCAGGCACAUAUACAAAAAGAUCCGCGCCCUGCGGCAGAGGGGUCAAGGCACAGCCGUAGAACUGAAGAACGAUGGAACCCAGAGCCACCUGUAGCUCAACGCGGAAAAGACGCUGUCCUCCAAGGUCUGUUACCUAGACAGCUUUCCAUUAUUUACUCUUUCGCUGGCAGAGUUUCUUUUCGUUUCUUCAGUGUAUUUACUCAAGUUUUUAUUCUCUCCUGUGUUAGAUUUGUGGUUAAUUAAGUCUGAUAGCUAUGUGUGUUGCAUAAAAAAAAAAGUAAACAAAAUGGGGGACUGUAUGAAGGAAGGUGGGUUAAUAAUGGGUAGUGGGGCUCUUGUGUGUGUGAAACGCAGUACUAACGCACAGAAGAAAUCCUCGGCUCCAGCCUAUCGCCCCUUUAUAAGGAAGCCGAAUGCCUCGUCUGUGUGUGUUGGCGUGUUCGCUCGGGACCCCUUCUCAUUUCUCCUUACGCCUUGUAGUUAGACGGGCAUUACGUUACAUAAACACGUCAUUUGUAACACCCA